rnacentral:rRNA from 1 species
AUACGAAGGGUGCAAGCGUUAAUCGGAAUUACUGGGCGUAAAGCGCGCGUAGGUGGUUUUGUAAGUUGGAGGUGAAAGCCCCGGGCUCAACCUGGGAAUUGCCUCCAAAACUGCAUGACUAGAGUACGGUAGAGGGUAGUGGAAUUUCCUGUGUAGCGGUGAAAUGCGUAGAUAUAGGAAGGAACACCAGUGGCGAAGGCGACUACCGGGACUGAUACUGACACUGAGGUGCGAAAGCGUGGGGAGCAAACAGGAUUAGAUCCCCUGGUAGUCCACGCCGUAAACGAUGUCAACUAGCCGUUGGGAUCCUUGAGAUCUUAGUGGCGCAGCUAACGCAUUAAGUUGACCGCCUGGGGAGUACGGCCGCAAGGUUAAAACUCAAAUGAAUUGACGGGG